UACGGAGGAUGCGAGCGUUAUCCGGAUUUAUUGGGUUUAAAGGGUGCGUAGGCGGACUGUCAAGUCAGCGGUAAAAUACGGGGGCUCAACCUCCGCCCGCCGUUGAAACUGACGGUCUUGAGUGGGCGAGAAGUAUGCGGAAUGCGUGGUGUAGCGGUGAAGUGCAUAGAUAUCACGCAGAACUCCGAUUGCGAAGGCAGCAUACCGGCGCCCAACUGACGCUGAAGCACGAAAGCGUGGGUAUCGAACAGG
rnacentral:rRNA from 1 species